rnacentral:rRNA from 1 species
CAUGCAGUCGAGCGGACAGAAGGGAGCUUGCUCCCGGAUGUUAGCGGCGGACGGGUGAGUAACACGUGGGUAACCUGCCUGUAAGACUGGGAUAACUCCGGGAAACCGGAGCUAAUACCGGAUAGUUCCUUGAACCGCAUGGUUCAAGGAUGAAAGACGGUUUCGGCUGUCACUUACAGAUGGACCCGCGGCGCAUUAGCUAGUUGGUGAGGUAACGGCUCACCAAGGCGACGAUGCGUAGCCGACCUGAGAGGGUGAUCGGCCACACUGGGACUGAGACACGGCCCAGACUCCUACGGGAGGCAGCAGUAGGGAAUCUUCCGCAAUGGACGAAAGUCUGACGGAGCAACGCCGCGUGAGUGAUGAAGGUUUUCGGAUCGUAAAGCUCUGUUGUUAGGGAAGAACAAGUGCAAGAGUAACUGCUUGCACCUUGACGGUACCUAACCAGAAAGCCACGGCUAACUACGUGCCAGCAGCCGCGGUAAUACGUAGGUGGCAAGCGUUGUCCGGAAUUAUUGGGCGUAAAGGGCUCGCAGGCGGUUUCUUAAGUCUGAUGUGAAAGCCCCCGGCUCAACCGGGGAGGGUCAUUGGAAACUGGGAAACUUGAGUGCAGAAGAGGAGAGUGGAAUUCCACGUGUAGCGGUGAAAUGCGUAUAGAUGUGGAGGAACACAAUCGGCGAAGGCGACUCUCUGGUCUGUAA